rnacentral:rRNA from 1 species
UACGUAGGGUGCGAGCGUUAAUCGGAAUUACUGGGCGUAAAGCGUGCGCAGGCGGUUCGUUGUGUCGGCGGUGAAAGCCCCGGGCUCAACCUGGGAAUGGCAUUGGAUACUGCAGAUCUGGAGGAUCGGAGGGGGGACUGGAAUUCUUGGUGUAGCAGUGAAAUGCGUAGAUAUCAAGAGGAACACCAGUGGCGAAGGCGAGUCCCUGGACGAUACCUGACACUGAGGCACGAAAGCUAGGGGAGCAAACAGG